GAUGAACGCUGGCGGCGUGCUUAAUACAUGCAAGUCGAGCGAACAGACGAGGAGCUUGCUCCUCGGACGUUAGCCGCGGACGGGUGAGUAACACGUGUAUAACCUACCUAUAAGACUGGGAUAACCUCGGGAAACCGGAGCUAAUACCGGAUAAUAUAUUGAACCACAUGGUUCAAUAGUGAAAGACGGCUUUGGUGUCUCUUAUAGAUGGUUCCGCGCCGCAUUAGCUAGUUGGUACGGUAACGGCUUACCAAGGCAACGAUGCGUAGCCGACCUGAGAGGGUGAUCGGCCACACUGGAAGUGAGACACGGACAAGAGUCCUGCGGGAGGCAGCAGUAGGGAAUGUUACGCAGUGGGGGGGAACCUGACGGAGUAACGGCGCGUGAGUGAUGGAGGUCUUCGGAGCGGAAAACUGUGUUAUGAGGGAAAAACAAAUGUGUCAGUAACUAUGCACGUCUUGACGGUACCGGGUAAGAAAGCCACGGCUAACUACGUG
rnacentral:rRNA from 1 species